GAGUUUGAUCCUGGCUCAGGAUGAACGCUAGCGGCAGGCCUAACACAUGCAAGUCGAGGGGUAGAGUUAGCUUGCUAACUUGAGACCGGCGCACGGGUGCGUAACGCGUAUGCAAUCUACCUUGUACAGGGGGAUAGCCCAGAGAAAUUUGGAUUAAUACCCCAUAGUGUUAUCGAAUCGCAUGGUUUGAUAACUAAAGUUCCAACGGUACAAGAUGAGCAUGCGUCCCAUUAGCUAGUUGGUGUGGUAACGGCAUACCAAGGCAAUGAUGGGUAGGGGUCCUGAGAGGGAGAUCCCCCACACUGGUACUGAGACACGGACCAGACUCCUACGGGAGGCAGCAGUGAGGAAUAUUGGUCAAUGGGCGCAAGCCUGAACCAGCCAUGCCGCGUGCAGGAUGACGGUCCUAUGGAUUGUAAACUGCUUUUAUACGGGAAGAAACACUCCUACGUGUAGGAACUUGACGGUACCGUAAGAAUAAGGAUCGGCUAACUCCGUGCCAGCAGCCGCGGUAAUACGGAGGAUCCAAGCGUUAUCCGGAAUCAUUGGGUUUAAAGGGUCCGUAGGCGGUCUUAUAAGUCAGUGGUGAAAGCCCAUCGCUUAACGAUGGAACGGCCAUUGAUACUGUAGGACUUGAAUUAGUGGGAAGUAACUAGAAUAUGUAGUGUAGCGGUGAAAUGCUUAGAUAUUACAUGGAAUACCAAUUGCGAAGGCAGGUUACUAUCACUAUAUUGACGCUGAUGGACGAAAGCGUGGGGAGCGAACAGGAUUAGAUACCCUGGUAGUCCACGCCGUAAACG
rnacentral:rRNA from 1 species